rnacentral:misc_RNA from 1 species
AUAUACUACUAGAGUGUAGGUGUUGUCUUCAAUCAAACUUUUUCUAGAUUUGGUUUGGCUGACCACGCUCAAUGUCCAAGAAGAGGACUUUACUGCUCUAGUAGUUGUUGGGAUUAUUGUUUUUCCAUGGAGGUGUUUCUUUGAGUUUGAUGGGUUUCCAGUUGCCACCUUGAUGCUCUUUGGUUGUUGAUUUCCAAGGGACCUUCUCUUCAAGCAUCUUCAACCAUUUUGGUCCCUGGUGGUACUUAGUCAGUCAAUAAUCCUUCUCCCUGAUAUUCACAG